rnacentral:rRNA from 1 species
CUGCGGCAGCGAACGUAUCACCCAAGACAACUUUGCACAGUUGACGAUUGACGGAGCGGAGCGACGUCAAAGCGUUUUACAACGUCGAGUUGGCUUAGGGAUACGUUCGUUGGGUAGGGGAGCGUUCUGUAAGCCUGCGAAGGUGGCCUGUGAGGGUUGCUGGAGGUAUCAGAAGUGCGAAUGCUGACAUAAGUAACGAUAAAGCGGGUGAAAAGCCCGCUCGCCGGAAGACCAAGGGUUCCUGUCCAACGUUAAUCGGGGCAGGGUGAGUCGACCCCUAAGGCGAGGCCGAAAGGCGUAGUCGAUGGGAAACGGGUUAAUAUUCCCGUACUUGGUGUUACUGCGAAGGGGGGACGGAGAAGGCUAUGUUGGCCGGGCGACGGUUGUCCCGGUUUAAGCGUGUAGGCUGGUUUUCCAGGCAAAUCCGGAAAAUCAAGGCUGAGGCGUGACGACGAGGCACUACGGUGCUGAAGCAACAAAUGCCCUGCUUCCAGGAAAAGCCUCUAAGCAUCAGGUAACAUCAAAUCGUACCCCAAACCGACACAGGUGGUCAGGUAGAGAAUACCAAGGCGCUUGAGAGAACUCGGGUGAAGGAACUAGGCAAAAUGGUGCCGUAACUUCGGGAGAAGGCACGCUGACACGUAGGUGAAGUGAUUUACUCAUGGAGCUGAAGUCAGUCGAAGAUACCAGCUGGCUGCAACUGUUUAUUAAAAACACAGCACUGUGCAAACACGAAAGUGGACGUAUACGGUGUGACGCCUGCCCGGUGCCGGAAGGUUAAUUGAUGGGGUCAGCGCAAGCGAAGCUCCUGAUCGAAGCCCCGGUAAACGGCGGCCGUAACUAUAACGGUCCUAAGGUAGCGAAAUUCCUUGUCGGGUAAGUUCCGACCUGCACGAAUGGCGUAAUGAUGGCCAGGCUGUCUCCACCCGAGACUCAGUGAAAUUGAACUCGCUGUGAAGAUGCAGUGUACCCGCGGCAAGACGGAAAGACCCCGUGAACCUUUACUAUAGCUUGACACUGAACAUUGAGCCUUGAUGUGUAGGAUAGGUGGGAGGCUUUGAAGUGUGGACGCCAGUCUGCAUGGAGCCAACCUUGAAAUACCACCCUUUAAUGUUU